UCAGGCCUAACACAUGCAAGUCGUACGAGAGUUUUUAACUCUAGUGGCGGACGGGUGAGUAACACGUGAGAAUUUGCCUUUAGGAGGGGGAUAACAAUCGGAAACGAAUGCUAAUACCCCAUAUGCUUUCGAGUGAAAUGGAUUUAUAUUUAUCCGCCUAGAGAGAAGCUCGCGGCUGAUUAGCUUGUUGGUAAGGUAAAAGCUUACCAAGGCGACGAUCAGUAUCUGGUUUGAGAGGACGAUCAGACACACUGGAACUGAGACACGGUCCAGACUCCUACGGGAGGCAGCAGUGGGGAAUUUUCCGCAAUGGGCGAAAGCCUGACGGAGCAAUACCGCGUGAGGGAAGACUGCCUAUGGGUUGUAAACCUCUUUUUUCAGGGAGGAAUCAAUGACGUGUACCUGAAGAAUAAGCAUCGGCUAACUCCGUGCCAGCAGCCGCGGUAAGACGGAGGAUGCAAGUGUUAUCCGGAAUCACUGGGCGUAAAGCGUCUGUAGGUGGUUUAAUAAGUCAACUGUUAAAUCUUGAGGCUCAACUUCAAAAUCGCAGUCGAAACUAUUAGACUAGAGUAUAGUAGAGGUAAAGGGAAUUUCCAGUGGAGCGGUGAAAUGCGUAGAUAUUGGAAAGAACACCGAUGGCGAAAGCACUUUACUGGGCUAUUACUAACACUCAGAGACGAAAGCUAGGGUAGCAAAUGGG
rnacentral:rRNA from 1 species